rnacentral:lncRNA from 1 species
GGUUAACUUGGUCUUUUAUACUUUGUUGAUAAAAACUCAAGGUUAAUACUGUUCUAUAGAUAGCCAGUCAAAUUUUAAGAUGUAACAAUCUUGAAAAAAAAAAAGAACACUUUAAGAUUUUAAUAGCUGAAGUUUGCUAUAGAAGGUUAAUAGUAAAUGAGACAGAAGAAGAUAGUAGAAAAGCUAUGGGUAAAAGAAAUACACUUUUGAUAUGAAAAGAUUUUGUAUGUUUGUCUUGUUAGAAAGAUAUAAAGAAAGAUAUACAAGACCAGAAGGCUUAAGUAUGUAGAGAAGCUAUCAAGGUAGCUGAAACUCAGCUACACCACUCUAGAGUAAAACAGAAUUCCAGGGAAUCCGACUCUAGGAGGCCAAGAGACAACGCACUCAAAGCCCUGCUCUCACCACACCGGAAGCUGGUGAGUCUACGCACGGCUGAAGAAGGAGAACUACAAUCUAGAUAUAGACUCUUAUAUUGUGUCAUACUGUUAAGAGAUGCCUUUACAAAUUGCUGUGACCCCUUAGCUAAAAAUUUAAACAAUGAAUCAAGGAUUUGAUUCUACCUAAAAUCAGUGGGGAUUGUAAGACUUGAAUAGGCUAAAGUGACUCCAUGCUAAUAGGCCAGACUGUGCUUCUUCAUAUGCUAAUUGCUACCUUGGUUAACAGCCCGCCCGGGGGCAAAUGGUUUGACAAAAGGUGACCCUAGAACAUUUCCUGCAUAAGAUAAGCAAUGUGUUUGCAGUCUUGUUCUGUGAAUUCCCUGACUCUUUGUUUAGAAAAACCUUAUAAAAAGUACCUCAGCCCCUGAGCAGUUGCCUCUCUGAGCCACCUGGCUCCGGGAGUGCCGUCUGGCCAGACUAAUAAAGGUCUCUUUGCCAUCUAGCCUGGUGUGUUCCUUCCUGGGUUUCUCGGUUCUCUGUCGUGUUCCCGGAGCCUCGCUGGGUGUUAGGGCCCAGCAUCGUGGAGGCCUUUCGGCUGUUCACGCUCCGUGGAGUGGAAGUGAGACUUUAGGUCUUACAUUAGGGCUUAUCCAGUAUAAAAUCACAGGAGUUAAAAUUGUGCAAGUAUUUCAAAAAAAUAUUCAAGGGUAAAUUAAAAAAAUAAAAAAGACCUCCCUGUGAUGUUAAAAUUUAGAAAAGGACCCCUUUCUGACCUAUAUAGAAAGGGCCAUAUGAGUCACUUAUAGUUACUCCCACAGCUAUCAAGGUAGCUGAAACUCAGCUACACCACUCUAGAGUAAAACAGAAUUCCAGGGAAUCCGACUCCAGGAGGCCAAGAGACAACGCACUCAAAGCCCUGCUCUCACCACACCGGAAGCUGGUGAGUCUACGCACGGCUGAAGAAGGAGAACUACAAUCUAGAUAUAGACUCUUAUAUUGUGUCAUACUGUUAUGAGUUAUUAUACUUCUAAAUUAAGAGUUUAUGAGCCUACAGAUGAUAAAAAUAUGAAAACUUUUUGUGCUCUGGGAAUCCUAAUCCGCAAUUUAGCUGUCUAAGAGAUGCCUUUACAAAUUGCUGUGACCCCUUAGCUAAAAAUUUAAAACAAUGAAUCAAGGAUUUGAUUCUACCUAAGAUCAGUGGGGAUUGUAAGACUUGAAUAGGCUAAAGUGACUCCAUGCUAAUAGGCCAGACUGUGCUUCUUCAUAUGCUAAUUGCUACCUUGGUUAACAGCCCGCCCAGGGGCAAAUGGUUUGACAAAAGGUGACCCUAGAACAUUUCCUGCAUAAGAUAAGCAAUGUGUUUGCAGUCUUGUUCUGUGAAUUCCCUGACUCUUUGUUUAGAAAAACCUUAUAAAAAGUACCUCAGCCCUUGGGAAGCCUCAGAAUGCUCCAUUUUUUUAAUGU